AGUGAACGCUGGCGGCGUGCCUAAUCCAUGCAAGUCGAAUGAAGUGGCGCACGGGUGAGUAUAAUAUAGCUAAUUUGCCCUACACAGAGGAACAACAGCUGGAAACGACUGCUAAUAUCUCAUAGUGUAGGAUGAGACUAUAUCGUAACAUCGAGUUGGUAAGGUAAUGGCUAACCAAGGCUAUGACGCAUAAUUUGUCUGAGAGGCUGAUCAGAAGCAUUGGAAAUGAAACACGGUGCAAACUCCUACGGAAGGCAGCAGUAAGGAAUAUUGCGCUAUGGGGGAAACCCUGACGCAGAAACGCCGCGUGGAGGAAGUCACUGUUCGGAGAGGAAACUCCUUAUAUCAGGGAAGCGGUACCUGAUGAAUAAGCACCGGCGAGCUACGUGCCAGCAGCCGCGGUGAUAC
rnacentral:rRNA from 1 species